rnacentral:rRNA from 1 species
UCGAGCGGAACAGGUCUUCGGAUGCUGACGAGUGGGAAACGGGUGAGUAAUACAUCGGAACGUGCCCUAUCGUGGGGGAUAACGGAGCUAAAGCUUUGCUAAUACCGCAUACGAUCUACGGAUGAAAGCAGGAGACCGCAAGGCCUUGCCSGGACGGARYGGCCGAUGGCAGAUUAAGUAKUUGGUGGGAUAAAAGCUUACCAAGCCGACGAUCUGWAGCUGGUCUGAGAGGACUACCARCCACACUGGGACUGAAACCCGGCCCAA